GGCCUCCUCCUCCUCCUCCCAGAAGCCCCUGGCUCCCCAGGGCCCCUCAAUACUCCACCAAAGUAGAUCUAGAUACACAUCUGCUUGAACCCGCACUUAGAGUUUGCUUGAGGAUGGGCCCGACACCAAGACACUCAGGCAGAUCCUGUGGUGUUCUCUUUUGAACAGGAUGAUGCCGCCGCUGAAAGAGCUGCUGCAGGAACCCCAGAUCCAAUAGGAGGGCCUUUUAGAGAGAUGAAGCCUGUACCCACACUGGCCUGCUGCCCCCUCCCUUCCACUGCUGACCCAGCUGCCGGUGGAUCAAACUCAGUAGAAGAUGGUCUCAGGAGGGAUCUUCAAGAGAACUGCUGGUCUUGUUCCCUCAGCAUGUGGUUCUCUGGCGCCCAAUCCAGAAUCCUGAUGAAUACAGCAGACCUGGCAGCC
rnacentral:lncRNA from 1 species